rnacentral:rRNA from 1 species
GACGUAGGUGGCCAGCGUUGCUCGGAAUUACUGGGCGUAAAGGGUUCGUAGGCGGUGCGGCAAGUUGGGAGUGCAAUCUCUGGGCUUAACCCAGAGGCUGCUUCCAAAACUGCCGUGCUAGAGUGCGAGAGAGGCCAGUGGACUUGCAGGUGUAGCGGUGAAAUGCGUAGAGAUCUGGAGGAACACCCGUGGCGAAGGCGGCUGGCUGGAUCGCAACUGACGCUGAGGAGCGAAAGCUAGGGGAGCAAACAGG